UUUCAGAUGCCGAUUUUGUUUUAACGAUUUGUUGAUACCCCUGGUUGAGUUAAAAACCAUUGCAAUUGAAGGAUGACUUCCACCGUUGGUGCAAACAAGAGAAAAUUGACUAUUGCCGAAGACUUGCAAGGAGCGAUGAAGGAGAGCAAUGCUGACGGAAAAGACCAUUUUUUCCAGCCCCACUUGAAGUCGCAGGUGACUCAGAAGCUGAUCAAUCAGCAGAGUGAAAUCGCCAUGCAGCAGGUAUGCCAACAGACUCUUAGCAGACUGAAGAGUGGGGCUUCAGAGUUCUACAAGUGUCUGGAGAAAGAAGAAAAGAGUCCGAAGAAGGAACAGGCGGCAGAGUUGAAACCGACCAAGCGCGAAUUACUUAAACCAUCCACCCCACUUGAAGUCGCAGGUGACUCAGAAGCUGAUCAAUCAGCAGAGUGAAGACGCCAUGCAGCAGGUAUGCCAACAGACUCUUAGCAGACUGAAGAGUGGGGCUUCAGAGUUCUACAAGUGUCUGGAGAAAGAAGAAAAGAGUCCGAAGAAGGAACAGGCGGCAGAGUUGAAACCGACCAAGCGCGAAUUACUUAAACCAUCCAUUGUUUUCGACGUCAACUCAAACGAGACCCAAACUGGAGACUUCCGCUGCUGCAAUUCAGACUCUAAUGCCGUCCAAUGCUACUACUGCACAGUCCUUAUAUGCACCUCAGGAAACGACAAUCCGUGUGGAGCCCAGUGCAAAUUGUGCAAGCAGUUCUUUUGUCAUAAAUGCCGUUGUGAAAAUUUGUGUCUAGGAUGCUCCUGAAAGUGGUUCGAAAUUUCAUGCAAUUUUAAUGCCUUAUUUAUUGACUUCGAAAAAUUUGAAUAGAAGAUACAUUUUUCUGUGACACUAAUGAAGAUAUUGAAAUGAUAUUUAUUCCUCAGGUGCCGGAUUGUUAAUGGAGCAUCUAUUGAGUGAAUGGACAAAUUGUUUUUAAAUAUUUAUUUUUUGAUUGUACUUAAA